rnacentral:rRNA from 1 species
ACAGGAUUAGAUACCCUGGUAGUCCACGCCCUAACGAUGCCAACUAGGUGUUGGGGAAGGAGACUUCCUUAGUACCGUAGCUAACGCGUGAAGUUGGCCGCCUGGGGAGUACGGUCGCAAGAUUAAAACUCAAAGGAAUUGACGGGGACCCGCACAAGCGGUGGAUGAUGUGGAUUAAUUCGAUGCAACGCGAAAAACCUUACCUACCCUUGACAUGCCAGGAAUCCUGCUGAGAGGUGGGAGUGCUCGAAAGAGAGCCUGGACACAGGUGCUGCAUGGCUGUCGUCAGCUCGUGUCGUGAGAUGUUGGGUUAAGUCCCGCAACGAGCGCAACCCUUGUCAUUGGUUGCCAUCAUUUAGUUGGGCACUCUAAUGAGACUGCCGGUGACAAACCGGAGGAAGGUGGGGAUGACGUCAAGUCCUCAUGGCCCUUAUGGGUAGGGCUUCACACGUCAUACAAUGGUCGGUACAGAGGGUUGCCAAGCCGCGAGGUGGAGCCAAUCCCAGAAAGCCGAUCGUAGUCCGGAUCGGAGUCUGCAACUCGACUCCGUGAAGUCGGAAUCGCUAGUAAUCGUGGAUCAGCAUGCCACGGUGAAUACGUUCCCGGGUCUUGUACACACCGCCCGUCACACCAUGGGAGUGGGUUUCACCAGAAGUAGGUAGCCUAACCGCAAGGGGGGCGCUUACCACGGUGGGAUUCAUGACUGGGGUGAA